AAGGCCUGAUUAAGUUUUUUUUUUUUCCCUUACCCUCCUCCACUUCAAAUUUUCACCCAUGUCUGGAUUUGGGUAUUCUUGCUGCCUGCUUUCUCAGACACCACGACCCUCCUACCUUGGCUGUUUUUUUUUCUCUGUUCCUUCUUCCUAAGGGACCUCCAUCUGUCCCUUCACUCAGCCCAUUGUGGUAUCGCUGAGCCCAGAAACUUCCACAAUGCAGUGGGCGUGCAAAGGGGGGCCACAGUAAACACGACAGCAUCCAGAUCCCAUUAGAAGCUCUUUAACUCCUACAUCCUAAUACUCAGAGGGAACUCUGGGAGGGGAAGGUUCGUCCCUUAUCCUUAUGCACACAAUGUCACACUUUACACCCACUUCCAUAGGUAAUGAACCUGCUAGUUGCACUUCUUCAUCCUCUCUUCUGAGCAUUGCUUUAUAUUUAUCUUUUCAUUUAAUCUUAUUUAAGUUUUUCUUUGUUUCAGAAAAUCAAAGUCAAAAUGCAGGACAUAGUGAACAUAAGGUGGAAAAUGCAGCUCCUAUGGAUCAGGAACUUUUUAUUUUAGUGUGGGACACUCUUGUUUGCCCGUUGGAUUAAAUGUCCUGGACACAAAAGUGAAAUAUAAGCACAAGAGAAUAAGAGGUGCGUUGGAGUAGGGAUGCAUCUAAAAGCAGAAGAACAUUGGUUCUUGAGGACUGAAGCUGGAGACCCCCGGCCUAAAUCCAGUUUCUUGUCACAACAGCUUGAGCUCUAUAAACAUAGCAUGACGAGUGAGGUUCAAAUUCAGAUUCAUACUUUACUGUACUCAAAAAUAAAUUUGCAUUUA